ACCUGUUGUCUCUGACUGAGGCUUUAGUUUUUGUUGAGCCGAUUUACACGUAGAAACUUUGUUCAGGAAGAUUUCUCAGUAGCUCAGAGGACAGGCUGCUUUUUACACAACCUUGUAAGAGAAUGUCUGUCAAUGCUUUCAGCAGAAUUUAGAAACACAACACUUCCUAAACAGAUAUUUUGAGGCUGUGAGGUUGAACGUUUGAGAGUAUAUCAGUGUGUUUGUUUGUGGUCUUUCUGUUUCUGGGUGGAAGCUGAAUUAGUGAGGAUGACUCCUGCUCCUGUCAUCUCUAAGCUCCUCACACAUCUUUACCUGCACAUGAGGAAAAUCACUCCUGUAGAAUGCAGUGGUUCAUCAGAACCUCUGGGGAUGUCCUGUGGAUUCUGUGGAUCCUGUGGGUUGCAGGGUGGGUCCUACCUAGACCAGGCUGAUCCUGGACCAUCCCACAGAUGCUCAAUCAGAUCUGGAUGUGGGGAGUGUGGAACCCAGAUGUUCAGAGGGAGAUGAUGCCACAUCUGGUCCAGCUGAUGGAAGGUCUUGAAGUUCUCUGACUGGCCUGGACUGAAGAUGGUCGUCUCACUGGAUUUAAGGUUCAGAUGCUCAGUAACAAACUCCACCAAUGUGCCAACAGGGAAGCUUUAGGUUUAUUAAAUGUUGCUAUGGAGGUAUCGUUGUUUUUCUUUGUAGAUGCAAUGUGCUCCAACUGAAACUUGAAUUAGAACUUAGAAGUAAAUCCUUCCAUCUGAAAGGAUUUAAUUGCAUUAAUAACCUCAUAACAUUCUAAUUUUUGUUUCAGUCUUGGCUGGAAAUAGAAUCUCUGUAUUGAUUCAGGUAAAAACUGAACUUCACAGCAUGUUGAAGCAAAACAACCAGAUGAAAACUGUGAUGGUGUUGGAUUGUCAGACCGUAAUGUUGCAGCUCAAAGCAGCUUUUCUAGCUCAGUUCAUUCUGACAUUCAGUUAUGAAUCAACACAGCAGAUGGUGAUCCAUGCUGUGGAAGUCUCACACCUCCUGAUUUAACCCUUUAAGCGCCAAAGUUGUAAUAUUGCGACAAGCAACAUUGCUGAACAUAACAAGCUAUAGCUGCAAAUAUGGUGCCUCAUAUGGUUACUACUUUACACGAGGAGAUGGCGGACAUCUGGAACUUCAAUCUGAGCAUCAUUUGUGGGCGUGUUUUCAUUCAAAGUUUUGGAGUUUGAAAACCGCCUCCCGGUCGAGGGGACGAGGGUCGUAGUCGGAGCGCAGCAGAGCGCACGACAGCCCGAGAAAACUGACCAUUCUGAGAGGUUUGUUCACUGUUGACAAAGUACUUCGUCAAGUAAUGGCUGACUCAGAUUCUGAAGAGGAAUAUUCACCCUCUGAUGAAGAUGUUCAGUCGUCCAGUGAGACAGAAAGUAACGCUGCGUCUGUGCGUAACGGCAGCGAGUCCGUGCGCCAUGAUAGUCCACAAGCAGCACAUACUGGAGCCGAUGCUUUGCUUCAACGUGUCCAGGGUGGCGUGGUGGGUGUAGCAGGGGUGGUCAAAACACCGCUAAUAGUGAGGUGGGUAGCGGGGAUGCAAAAAACCGCGGAAAUAGAGGCAGACGCGGGAGAAAAUGCACUGAUAAUGGCGGCGGAGGCCGCAGUGGCGUUCACGGCCCCGCCGUAAAUGACGGUGAUGAUGGCUGGGUUUGCCUUGAGAGAUGAGGAACAGUGUCACAAGUGGAUCAGACAUUUAGAUGAGCCUGCUGGGUAUCGUGGAGACAGGAAUCUGACAAAUUCUGAGCCAAGCAAUGCCAUCUUGAUCGAUAAACAUCUGCGAAAGUUAUGUAAUCCAUAUGUCCGCCGCCUGGUGACGUCAUAAUAUGCAAAUUAGAUGAGUGAACUUACUCCCAUCACAAACUUUGGAUCAUACUGAUGAUUUUACUCAUUUACAGUAUGCCUUUAUCUCUAAUCAUUUUCAAGUCACAACCUUUUGAAAAAGUGAUAUCAAAACUGAAUAUUUUAUUGAAAAAACUGUGGCGCCUAAAGGGUUAAUGGAGCUGCUUUGCACUUUUUACACUGUUUAUUCACCAACACUUUAUUUAAUAAAAGUCCCAUCUAGUUUUUAUAAGGAAUGUGAUGUUUUAAUUUCUCUGUGAAUAACUGCAGUCUAAUGUAACAGCUGGAGUUGUAACAUCUGUCCUGAUAUUGAUCAUGAAGUAUUGAUCAGAAUACUUAUGGUCAGCAGUCAUCCCUGAAGUUUUACAUUAAAAUCUUUACUUGUGUUGUGAACUUUGGUAAGAAGCAGAAACUUUAGCGUUGCCAUGGAUACAUGAGUGUUAAAUUCUGUCCAUGUUUCCAUUGUGGGAAAUUCAGUCCAGCAGAUGAGUUUGUUUUUACUGCCAGUUACCAUUCAGUCUGAGAUAUUAAGAAUAAAUAAAUGUGCAUAAUGUGGAAAUGAACAGAUUUUAUUUUUAUUUAUUCCUACAGCUCCUGUAGGUAAAAUUCCAGAAUGUGGAGGAAUUUAGUCUCAAUCACAGACAAUAAAUGUUAUCUGAAAGUCGGGUUAUUGUUGUUUAUCAGCACAAUACAAAAAGAUUAAUGUUAGAAAUAUUCCAGUUAAGACUCUAGAAUAUCAUGAUUUAUGUAAAUUUACCUCAGUAAUAUGAAUGUUCAGGUUAAGAUUGUGCAGUGAUAUUUAUUAUGUAAGUUUAGCUGAUUAAAGUUUAUGACUGCACUAAAAUAUUAUAUAUUUAAAUUUACAUCAUAAUAUUUAGGGUCAGAAGCUACAGUAUUGAGAUUAAGAAAUCAAAUAUUCUGUAAAAUGUAAAUACACUGAACUCAUUUGGAUAUAUUUAAGUCAGACUCUAGAAUAUUAUUUGACACAAAUCUAUCUAAAUCAAAAUUUUAAUCAUUUUUACUCCAAACAUUUACUGGACUGAUUUAAAUAUUAAAAUCACUCCUUUCUAAUCCUCUGCUGUAUGUUCAAACCUGAGGCCUUAAAUAGAAACACACAAGUAUCUGUUUGAAGGAACUUCUGCAGAGUCCUGGUUCCAGAACAUGAUGAUAGAAUUAUAGACAAACUUCAACAAAAGCUGCCUGAGAGUUUACAGGUUUUCAGGUUUUCUUCAGUAAUUUAAUGAGCGUUAUCAGCAAUAAUCAAGUGUUCAUUUGAUGAACUUCAUUUCCUAAAACAUCCAGAAUUGGAGCUCAUAUCUUUGGCAGCUGUAAAGUUUCUGCUCCUUCAAAGUUCACAACACAAUGAAUUAAUUCCUAAAACACUCUCAAUGCUGGAGAACGUUUGUGAUGCUGAAGCAGUGACCAGUUUUUCUGUUUCUUCUCUGGAGAUGCACAAUGAGGGACGUCUGCAGAGACUGAGAAAGAGUCUCACCACAUCCUGACAUGAGGAAAAAGACUUUAUUGAAGACUACAAUGAGAAAAACUAUCAGACAGCAGACGGCUGCAUUCAAGUUUAGGCUGUUAGAUUGUUCCAGAUAAGACAAGUACAAGAUUCUUCAGAGCCGUUCUACCACGAGCCUGACAGGAAGAACUCCAACAGCUACUGAAUGUUCCUGUGGUUCCCUCAAGGCUACAGGAGGAGCCCUACGAGGACGAGCCGGUCCACCUGAUGGCGGCCAGUUGCUGCGGUUCAAAGCCAACACCGACUACGUGGACUUCUACUGGACCACACGGAGGCCUUCAAACCGGACCAACAAGUUCAUCGACUCCCCGACUCGUGGGUCUGAGGACGCCGCCGAGCCUCGGUCCAGCCGGCCUCCUGUCUGUGGGUGUUUGAGUGCUGAGAGGUUUGAGGAUGCAUGUGAACGUUCUGUGUUGAAACAGCAGCUUUGGACUCAGUAACGCUGGGAAAAACCAAGAGCUCCUUUAUUUGUCACUUCCACUAAAAAAACUGAUGAAAAUAAGUUUGCCAGAGUUCUGACUGAUAACAGAUUAUUAAAUAAUGAAAAUAAUCAUUUAAAUAUUCCUUUAAACAAUCCUUUUAGGUCUACAUUUCCUUUACACUGACUUCUUGGUAUAUGUAUCAGUAUUUUGGGUGGAAUAUACCAUUAAGCCCAAUGUUCAAGGGUUUUUCUGGGAAUAUACCAUUAAACCAACCUUUUAGGUAAAUGUUCCAGGGUGUUGGGUAGAAUAUACCAUCAGAUAAACCUUUUAGGUCUACAUUGGAAGAUUUUAGAGUAGAAUAUUACUCCAAACCAUCCUUUAGGUCUACAUUUAAGGUGGAAUACUCCUUUCCACCAAGAUUUUUUGGUCUACAUUGAAGGAUUUUAGUUGGAAUAUUCCUUUGAACGAACUUUUUAAGUUUAUGUUAAAGGAUGUUGGGUGGAAUAUACCAUCAGACCAACCUCCAAGGUCUACAGUAGUGAUUUUUAGGUGGAAUAUAUCAUUAAACUCACCUUUUAGGUCUACAUUGGAGGAUUUUAGGUGGAAUUUUCUUUCAAACUAUCUUUUAGUCUACAUUUAAGGAUGUUUAGGAUGGUAUAUUCUUCCAAACCAACUUCUCAGGUCUACAUUUCAGGUGGAAUAUUCCUCCAUACUAACUUUUUUGGUCUACAUUGAAGGAUUUUUUCUAAACCACCCUUUCGGGUCUAUAUUUGAGGUUUUAGGUGGAAUAUUCCUUUUAACCAGCCCUUCAGGUCUCUUUGAGGAUUUUGGAUGGAAUACUCAGUUAAACCAACAUUUUAGGUGCAUGUCUAAGGAUUUUUGGUGGAAUGUUCCUUUCAGGUUGAUGUGUGAGGACCUUGUAGGUGGAAUACUUCCUGAAACCAACCUUUUAGGUCAACAUUCAAAGAUUUAAGGUGGAAUAUUCCUUUAAACCAACCUAAAUUUCAUGUUUUGUUCAUUAUCAAGUGAGAAACCUCAAUCCAGACUUCUCAUAAUGACGUUUGAGAUUUAUGCUAUUUGUUUAGUCCAGACUAAAUGACAGAAAUCCACAACUGUAAUUUUAUUUCAGGACUCGGUUAUUAAAUGUCAAAACAAUCCACAUGACUCUAAAAACCCAACAGGGUUACAAACUCUAAGAUCAAACUCUCCACAAGGAUCUCUGUUUCUUUCUGUGUCCUUUCUCCGAGUGUCCCUGCUCCCAGAGCUGGAUGCUUCAGAUCUGUGGUUGUUCUCCCACCUCCAGCUGCCCAUUUCCACCGAUCUACUCUGCCUAGCCUUACUAUACUUGAUUUGCUCAUCUACAUAUUGUUGAAUUUACCACCAGCUAUAUAUGUAGUAUAUUUAAUGCCAGAGCCGUACACCGUACGCCGUACACUAUAAUUAGUUUCCAUGUUAGUUGUACUUUGCAUGUAUCAUCUGUCUUAUCAUGCAUGUAUUAUACUGUGUGUUUUAUGGUCCUUGUGUCCCCCCCUACCUCUCUAUCUCUAUCCCUCUAUCUCUACCUUUCUACCUCUUCUGUCCCUCUCAACCCGCCCGGCCAGCAGGUAGAUGGGUCCCCCCACAUUAGAGCCGGGUUCUGCUCGAGGUUUUUUUUCCCUGUUAAAAGGGUGUUUUCCUUGCCACUGUCGCCUUUUGGCUUGCUCUGGGGAUCAGGCAUAUGGGUUCUGUAAAGCGUCUAGAGACAAUUUGACUGUAAUUGGUGCUAUAUAAAUAAAAUUGAAUUGAAUUGAAAAUAAGUUGGACUUCUACAUGAGAGCUUUAAUUAUUCUUCAUCAACUUCCUGAAAAGUUUGGUCAAUAAAAAAAGACAAAAACUAAUAUUUUCUGCUGAACUAAAGAGAGACUGUGAUUUUUCUGCUCACAUGUUGUGUUGUUGUAAACUUACUCUUUCAAAUAAAUAGCCACCUAACCCCCUGGAAACCAGCGUUUGUCCUGUUUUUGUGUUGCUCCUUGGCGACCCUAGACAGCCGGGUCGUAAUGUUUUUUGAGCAACACACCAUACUAUGCAGUUUUUACAAUGAUGGUUCUACUAUGAAACCAGUUUAACAUGUUCAGGCGUUCUUUGUGUGAAAACUCAGAGAUUUCAGGUAUCGGAAGGUGGUUUUCAACUUUCUUUGUUAACUUUCUGCUUCAACUUUAAACUAAAUUUCCUUCACUAACCCCGCCCUCUGGACUUCCAGUAAGCUGUGUUCCUAUUGGCUGUCCAGGUGGCUGCUUGGUGUUAUCAGGAACACCUGAGCAGCUCAGUGUCUUCCUGCUUUAUUUAGCUGCAGACAAACAUUUCCUCUGUUUCUCUUCACCACUGAACUGGGUUUGGCUCCAGUUGCUUUAGUUUGUUCUUUAGGCGUUGGCUUGCAGCUUCCAGCAGUAAAAUAGACUUUAAUGUGUUUCUUGGUGUGUUUUAGGGCUUUGUACUGGAUAGUUGUCUUGGUAAAGGUGGUUCUUUAGCCACAGUUAGCACAUGGUGCUAAUGUGUGCAGUGAUUAGUGGAUUUGGUACAGCUGAGUUGUGUCUUUAUCUUGGCUGUAGUGAGUCUUUAGAGGUUUUUGGUCAGACACAUUCUGUAUUCUUGUGAACCAACGCUGGUUGUCUAGAAGGUAAGAGUUCCUGUCCUGAUUCUCUGUUCUCAGAGGUUCUCUGGUAGGCUGCAGGAGACUUUAGUGUUUGGGUUGUGCUAGUUUGGUUUUUGUACAGUUUCAUUUGGACGACUAUCUUGAGGCCCCUCCAUGUGGUUUAGUGAGGUUUUCUGCAACAGUUCUACAAAGCAACCUGCAGCAGAAGAGACUUUGAGAGUUUUUAGGAAGUUCUGGAGACCAGACUUUAGAGCAGCAGAAACAUUUGUCAGCAGUUUGAGCAGGAGAAGGUGAGGUUCAGAGUAGAAAUGAGACAGAAACCUUCUUGACCCGUGUGGUGAGGUCCUGUACCAAGAGUUUGAGCAGGUUGUGAAGAAUCUGUAGUUCUUUGGUCUAAAAGCACAAGAAGAGUCGACUCAUUAAAGGAGAAAACAGGAGAUAUUGUUGUUUCUUCUGUCACUCUGCAGUUUCCUUAGACUGAAUAUCAAGUUUAUAUUUUAAAUGAUUUCCCAUGUGAGCCCAAGAAGACUUCAAUAAACUCUC